ensembl:ncRNA asRNA:CR45831 antisense RNA:CR45831
GCUCAAUAAUCCGCCGCACAGCCUCAUCCGGUGGCACAAUCAUGGACCACACCUCAUGGCAAUUGGUCUCCCAGCCCGCUCGCAGCAGCACCGCUGCCUCCAGGACCACCACACGCGGCACGUCCGCCUGGGAACGCAGUGCAUCCAGCCGCCUGUUAACCUCCGCAAUAAGUUCCGGCCAGACAAUGCCGUUGAGUGCUUGCAACUGCUUGGGAUCGGCAAACACCAAGGGUCCCAGCUUGGACCGAUCGAUGCGACCAUCGUCUGAAACAAUACCCUGUCCGAAGUGCUGCACAAUUCGGGUGUAGCACAACUGACCAGGUUCGUAAACAUCGUGCGCCACCUUAUCGCAGUCGAUCACGUGGGCGCCCAUGUUGGCCAAUCUCUCGCCCAUCUUGCUCUUGCCAGAUGCGAUGCCGCCAGUGAGUCCAAUAAUGUAAGGGCGCGGCGGGAGCUGUGGUCGUGGCUCCGGCCUUCUCCAGCGGGUUCCCAGCAGAUCGAUGCGUGUGUUACUCGAGCUGACCUUGGUCUCGUGGAUGCCAUCAUGCACGUUGCUUUCAACAAUGUCAAUCACAAAGAUCUCCAGCUCGCGCAGUUGCUUAGCGGAGCGUACCUCGUUGACCUUCUGCCCUCCUCGCAACGUCUCCGCACUGACCACAAUCAUGUCCAGGUCAGGAUCCACUUGCGUGGGACCAAAGGGAUCAUCGAUGGGCACAAUUUCGUACUGCAGCGUAUCAUCUAUGUCCACCAGGAACUCCCUUAGCCGGGCGAUGCGCUCUUCCACGGGCAAAAUCAAGUCCGGCAGCGUCUUUCCUGCAGACAGCGAUAAGAAUGGUCGUUAAGAUAAGCGUUUUAUUUUGCCAAUUCAUGCCCGUCUUACCCUUCGUCAUGGCGGAGGUGGUUACGCCCACAACCAAACGCUUGCAGGUGCGCAGUACAGCCUGGGUGAGGAAUAUCUUGUGUCCCAGAUGGAUGCGAUCGAAUGUUCCGCCCAGGACAACCGAGGGAUACACCUUAGGCGGCUGGGUGUCAUCCUGCUGGGCACUUAAAUCCGAGAUGACCGAGUCAUCCAGGAAGAUUGUUGGCUUGCUGAUGUUAAGAUCCGCGCGAAGCCUGUCGCACAGCUCCGGAUGAUGUGCAUCCGAGAAGAUUAGGUCGACGGGCUGGCGCAACUUCAGGGAUCCAUUGGCACCUGGUCGUAGGGGAGAGACAAGGACGCGAAGGUCCAACUGCUUGCCCACAUAGCUGCUGCUGUUGGCGUACAGCUGCGAGAUUAGACGACCCCAAACCGGAGGCGGUGGAACUGGUGACGUCGUGGACGUUGACCCCGCCACAUUUAGGUGGAUGUACAGUGAAUUCACGUACUUCUCGAUGGCUCGCAGGG